UCUCUUCUUCCCUCGAAAAAUCUCUCUCAUCUCUUCUCCCUCUUCCUCUACCUCUAUCCAUCAAUUAGGGUUUUUCUGCUGCUAUCAAUUACUGAUAAACCCUCCGAUGGGGUCGCAGAGAGAAACCAAGCUCCUUCAGGAGCUCAUGCUCUACGCCGCGAGCGCCGCCUUGAGCUACUUGGCUAUCGUCGUGGGGCUCCGACACCUCGACCCGAACCGCGAGGCCUCCAAGAAGGCCAUGGAGCACAAGAAGGAAAUUGCUAAGCGGCUCGGUCGUCCUCUCAUUCAGACCAAUCCUUAUGAGGAUGUCAUAGCUUGUGAUGUUAUAAACCCUGACAACAUUGAUGUGGAGUUUAACUCUAUUGGAGGGCUGGAGGAUAUAAAGCAAGCCUUAUUUGAGCUGGUGAUUCUUCCACUGAAGAGGCCGGACCUCUUUAAUCAUGGGAAACUCCUUGGUCCACAGAAGGGAGUCUUGUUGUACGGACCACCAGGGACUGGGAAGACUAUGCUGGCUAAAGCUAUUGCGAAGGAGUCUGGAGCUGUCUUCAUCAAUGUUAGGAUAUCUAAUCUGAUGAGCAAAUGGUUUGGCGAUGCACAGAAGCUUGUUUCCGCUGUGUUUAGCUUGGCUCAUAAACUUCAGCCUGCUAUCAUAUUCAUCGACGAGGUUGAUAGUUUCUUGGGACAGCGCCGUACAACAGAGCAUGAAGCAAUGACAAACAUGAAAACUGAGUUCAUGGCUUUGUGGGAUGGGUUCACUACGGACCAGCAUGCUCGGGUUAUGGUUCUUGCUGCUACCAAUCGUCCAUCAGAGCUUGAUGAAGCAAUACUUAGGCGUCUUCCUCAGGCCUUUGAGAUUGGGAUGCCCAGUCAAACUGAUAGAGCUGAGAUACUAAAAGUAAUCUUGAAGGGUGAGAAAGUUGAUGAUAACAUUGAUUAUAACUGUCUAGCUGCCUUGGCUGAGGGUUAUUCUGGUUCAGAUCUACUUGAACUAUGCAAGAAAGCAGCCUAUUUCCCAAUAAGAGAUUUAUUAGAUGAAGAAAAGAGAGGGAAAAAAGCUUCGGCACCCAGGCUAUUAACACAGGAGGACUUGGAGAAUGUUCUUGCAACUUCUAGGCAUACAAAGGUUGCUGCAAAUGACUACUAUACGGGAUUGAACUCAUCAUCACCAAGAUUCUCAAGGAACAGGGAUACUGUUGAAAUUCCAGGUCAAGCUGCAAUUAAGGAGCUCGCUAGGCUUGUGGUUUCCCAAAUUUUGAAUAUUCAAACUGAUCCCCAAGACCCAUGAAUGAGGAUAAUCCUCAACCCCAAGUCUCUAUUCAACAUUGUCAGUAUUCUCUCCAUCCUCUUUUAGGUUUUGUAUAAAUCUUUUAAAUGCUCACGGGGUUCCAUAUUCUUGAAUGCCUAAGAUCAGUUUUCGGUUUAGCUUAGCUAAAAGCAAUAUGAUCGGUAUCAUACUCUUUUGUAUUUCUUAAAGUUAGAUGUUUCAAAUUAACCAUUUUCUGUAACAGAUGUUUCAUAACGUUAUUUAUAUUCCUUCUACAUGUACCAUCUAUCUUCUACUAUGUGAUGAUGUUGAUAGCGAAACUUUGUGCCUGCCUAAUUGGAGUGUUUUAUUAGAAGUUAAUAGAUGCUCAUCAAGUGUGUAUGUAUAAUGAAGCCAAUUGUUUGUUAGUGAUGCUUAUGGUUGUAAUGAGUAUAAUUCACAUGGUCAGCCAAGUUGGUUUUAGCUACCAAAUGAUUAGGGCCAUCUUCUAUCUAUGACAUAGCUGGCGGUGCACUGGGUUUUGGUUUUGGUUUUCUGCUGGGAGUCGAAGGCACGCAAUAAAGCUGAGGCCGAUCAUUACCAACCCUUUUAAUGUCGCAAUUCUUGCUCUCGGUCCCUCACCCCACACGCUUUUUACUAAAAUUCAGGACCACAUCUGCACAGCAAGGGCUGAGCCAUAAAAUUCCACACACCGCUUAGUCGCUUACUGUGUUUCGCAUCUCAGGUUUCCGGAAUUUCAAUCCGUAGGAUCACUAACAACGAACCAUAGUGUAGGUUUGUCAAGAAAAUCGUAUAAAAAAGCACGGUCAUAAUGUCACUAGAGAAUCGAAUCACUAAGAAGAUUCAGUUAGAUGAGGCCAAGUGAGUAAGAACAAAUGAUACUAAUUGGCUAGUGAUACAUCCACAGCUGGGGAUUUCAGCCUCAAGUUCUAUAUAACCAGAAUCAGAGUCUUGUAUCAGGUAAUAUCAA